GCGGCUUGUCAGGAUCAAGAUAACUUAUUGAAGAAGCAUUUUUGAUUUUAUCUCGAUUGACCACAUCUUUUUAAACAUUGUACUGUGAUUCAAAGGAAAUAAGUAAGUAAUAAACCAUUACUUUACUUCGUUUCACCCGAGGGAAGUCGUUGUCUGUACGGGUGUAAAGAUGGCCAUGAAGACAGCAGCGUCGACAUUGGACCAGCAUUUUCUUGAUGAGUUUGCCAGGCAAAAGGAGAUCGUACCCGAAAUAGAAUUGCAGUUGGAACGUUUACGAUCAAUCCGUGAACCGAUGUCGUUGGAAGUUGCACAUGAAAACAUUAGAUUAUCUCGACGUUCCCUUCAAACAAUUAUUGAAAUUUGCAAAGUCGAGCAAAGAAGAGUUGAAAAGCUUGAACUCAUAUCAAAGAUGCGCGAUAAAUUUGCCAAUAUGAAGAUAGAGCGGAAAAUAGUGCAGGAAACGACGACAGGUGUGCCAGAACAAGGCGACGAAAAUGAAGAUCACCCGCAUGAGGCGACUGAGGAAACUGAAUCAAUGUUAUUGACAUCCCAAGAACACGAAGACAAUGUGAAUGAUUCUCAAAAUAUACUGAACACCGAGGGAGGAAGUCUUCCACUAGAGCGCAAUGAAUCAUGUAUAGACCAUCAAACAAAUAUGCUCAACUCCAACAGAGAAAGUCUUCCUUUACAAUGCAACGAGUCAGACAACAAGCAACGACAACGGGUAACAGACAACGAAGUAUGCUGUCUUGAUCCACGGAAAAUGAUUUUUUGCAAACGGUCAUGCGGUUUAGUUGCUUUGCAAGUGAUGCUACGCAAAGAAGGCGUUUCUUUUUGUAUGUCAAGGUUGUGUCAGAAAUUGCAGCAAAAUUUGUUGACCAGAAGGCAAGAAAAACUUGAGAAAAUGGAUGGUUUGUUGCCAUGCCCGAAAGUACUUCCUUUCCUGUAUGAAAAAAAGUUCUUUAAAGAAAUACUCCUCGAACGAGGGUUUUCACUGGAAGAAGUGAAGGAUGCUUUUAAAAAUUCAGGGCGUAAAGCAGGUGUUUUACUUUAUCACACGAAGAGCAUAAGCCAUUGUGUUAAUUUGGUGAAUCACAUGAAGGAAGUAAAAAUUCAUGAUUGGACUAAUGGCAGAGACGAUCCGAUAGACUUUGAUAAAGCCCUCUCUGCUCAGGUUGUUGUUUUGUCUUAUACAAAUGAUGAAGAUGGUAAAAUUUAUGGCAUUUCCGUCAUUGGUAGUGAAUGGGAUGAUUGCUAUUCAGACAUUUGCAAAACAGAAUAUAUCCAAAGUCACGCAAAUAACGGAAAUCUUAGUUGUUCAAAUAGGGAGGAGGUAGCUGAUGGACUUUAAACUUAAAAUUUGUUGUGAGUGUCAGCCAAAUUCUCAAAUUCCCCACAUCCAGUCAAUUAUAAUAAAGUUGUAAGGAAGCAUGUGAACUUACAAGAUGUAGAUUUUACGGCAAACAAGAAGGCAUUGACACCUCAUCCCACAGCAUAUGUACCAACAUACCAAGCAUCCAAAACAAAAGCCUCCUAUCUACCUUCUUCUAAGCGAAAAAAGAACCAAAAAAGACCAGGAUAUUAUGUAAUAUGAGCUAACAGAAAUGAAUGCAUGGGAAAAUGACCAUUAGGCGCUCAUUAUGCCAACCAAAAAAAACCAGAUAAAAGCCUCACAGGAAAAAAGCAACAAACGAACUGACAAGAUGAAAAAUUGUCACCCCAAAAAAGAAAAAAUCCAGAAAAGACCUACAUGCGUAAGGAAGAGAAAAAUAUAGCUAAAACACAAGUUGCAAAGCCACUUGGAUUUAAAAAUGGAAUUCAUAAAAAUAGGUUUUUGAAAGAAAAGAAAAAACUUCCAUCUACUUAUCAACUGCAUAUAGCAUUAACCAGUGGCGAUCCGAUUUUCUUCCAACCAUCCUUCUGAACAUUGCUAUACGAUUUGUGCACGAUACACGUGACCACAUUUUUCUGUAAACAAGACCUGGCGAAGAUGUUUUAGCAUUGUGAUAUGAAUGAGCGCAAUCAUCAACGAAAAUUGUAUAAAUCUGAAACGAUUCAAAAGUAUUCAUUGAUGGAAGACUGAAUGGGAAGAUAAAAGUGAAACAAUAGCUAUCUGAAAUCGUAGACGGAGUUGAGGCAGCAAUCGCAAGAUAGAUUAUUAAUUUAUUCAUUGAAUAUUUUGUUUAUGUAUAAUAGCUAGCUUUUUACCAUAAGCGAUAACGCUACCAUUUAGAAUUUGUUUCUGAUACAUCAAUACCAAUGGCGGAUCUAGGUUACGUCAAUGAAAAGUAUUUAUUGUACCUCGUUUGUGGUUUAAAAAAUGCUUUAGAGAAAACUUGAUAGGUAAAAUUUUAUUAUUUAUAAAAUUCAAAUAUUUAGUUUUUUUAGGAAGAUUUCUUGAAUUAAAAGGGAGCAUCUAUAAUUUUUUUUGGCAAAUGCUGGAUCCGCCUAUGUAAUAUGAAAGAUUUAAUCAAAAAACGUCAAUAGAGUUGUACGUAACUAAAGUUAUAUAUACUAUUAAAUUUGGCAUAAAUCAGCGUAUACAUUACGUAAA